GCCAACUCGCUGCUUUUCAACGUUUUCACUGCAAAAAAAGUAAAAAUACCUAAUUCACGGAAACUAGAUCCCGCGCGCGUUGUCCAUAUUCCCGAUAUGACAUUGACAGAUGCUCGAAUAUGGAAAAGCGCGCGAAUGCCGCGUACAUUUUUAAAUCACGAACAGAAAACGAUAAUCUGUGAGGAGUGACGUGUCACGUGGUAUUUCGAUCUGUCAAAAUGUGACAGAGAUAGAAGAUAGGAAGGGGGAGCGAUCGCGUGCACGUACGAUCAGGACGGAAGUGCGUCACUUGCGGCGGAAGUGACGUCACGGGUCGGAAGCGAGCAGCGCCGGAGCCGGAAGGCCGGUCACGGUACCGUCUUGAGGUCGAAGAAACUAACGGGUGUGACUAAAAAGGCAAUAUCAGAUGGCAUCGACUGGCACGGAGCACUGCGAAUGUGGCUGCGUGUUGUCCAGAAGAGUGGACCAUUGUUGUAAACAAGCCGGGAAGCUUGAGUAGGUCAAGAAAAUAUUCCAUUAUUUAUUGGACACGAAAACAAUUAGCUCCAACGAUCUUUGGGUACGGAAGCAACCGGGAAACCGAUUUGAUUCAGAUUCAUUCAUUGCAAUGUCACAAGUGGAAAUGUUAGAUGUUACAUAGAUAAUAUGUAAGUACAGGUGACGCCCUGCGAGGGCGCAGCAAACAUUGGGGCAGCUAGAUGCCAUUUGAUGAGAGAGAGGACAUCGAUUUAUAUAUUGUAUCCAGUUUAGGACAUUGCAAACCAAAUUACCUCGUAGUUAAAAUUCUUUCGGACCAAAGCCUCAACGCAUUUCAGCCGCAGGAGCCAUCGAAAUGUAUUACUCGAUCUACUGGAAAUUCUUAUACUAUGAUCUUGUUAUUGUCUUACUCUGUACCUUCACUAAUGUAUGAACAUCUGCGUGUCGCCUCGGAAUAGCAAUAGCCCUCGGGUGACAAUCGGUCGACUUUCCAUCGCCAAUUUGUAUGCGCCGCGCAAUCCCUACCCGGCAGCUGCUCGGAAAACUGCCCGUUGUUUUGACGACUAUGAGACGAUCAGAAUGUUAUCUAAAUAUCAUCGCAAUCGUCACAGCAAUACGUGGCGGUUAACAUGGUAUAUGUUUAUCUAUUUGUUAAUGCUCAUAAAAGCGAUACUUCUGGAUAAUAUCGGAUAGUUCUGUAACGUUAAAAUCCACUGUUAAUUAUUUAACUACAUUUUAAGGAUUAGACGAGCAAAGCCGCAGAUAUCAACUAAUUCACAGCCAAGACACUGAACAAUAUGAAUUUUAUUUCCAAACUUCUUCUUCUUCGUCGAGUCGACCGUAUUAACUGCAACUUGCAACAUUAUAAUAUAUCGCUAGCUUAAUUUUUUUCGGAAUAGAAUUCUGCCACGGCCAGCGCAUUAUUUGCAAUGUUAAGAUCACACAAGGUGCACGAAUCCGGCCAAGAUAUACAUUGAAGCAAGUGAGGCAUUGUCUGUAGCGGCUCUCCACCACCGCACCAGCACUGCGUGCGGUCCGCGAAGCCCCACAACACCAUGGUUUUGUUUCCAAUAGAAACUAUAAAUGUGAAAAUGAUUGAAAAUUGAAUAUAAGUACACAAUUCAUCACACCAGUGUUAAGUUAGUAUAUAUGUAGUAUAGCUGUACAUCAUUACUAUGUAUAAGAGUUUUACCUAGAACAUUUUUGAAUAAAAUUAUAUAAAUUAAUAUAAUAUUACAGUCAAUACAUCGAGCUGUGCUGUAAAUAAUGAACGAGAGAUGAAAGCUUUUAAGAAGAUGACUCAAACACAAAUAUAGACAAAACUCAGGGUCCCACUAACACUAAACUUGUCCGAUGGACUGGAGAAAGUGCACAACACACCCAGAACCAAAUAUUUGUGAAUACAGGUACGAAUAUUUACCCGCGCUGAGAAUGGACCUCAAGACCACAUCAACCACUACGCUAUGGACAAUCAAAUGGGCGGUCAUCAAAUGGUCAACACUCAACGGUCCACAUUAGGAUGACAUCAUGGCACAAUGAAACCUUUAAAAAUAACUAAGCGCGUAAGUAUGGAGGAAAAGAGUAGAAGACUUUGACCGGAGUAACAUGAAGAUUUCUAGUUUCAUACCUUGCAAGGAAUUGGAACUUCAUUAAUUUAUAUAAUAAUGUUUGCCUUUAGGCGACUAGAAUAAAAUCUGACACCAGUGUUAGCAAUAAAUAACACAAUCAAUCAGAUUUGGAAUGUGAUCUGCUUCGGGAAAAUUAACAUAUUUAUUUAAAAUUAGCUUUUGCCCCCGGCUUCGCCCGCCUUUGUUUCGUGCUGUCGUACUUAUUAUUGUCAACAUCUCUGAUUCUAAGCAAAUAAUCGCAAUACAUUUUAAAUUAGACUAUCCGCUAUACAACUGUGAAAACCUCAUCCAAUUCCAUCUAGUAGGUUUUACGUGAUGCGCGAACAAACAUAAAGACAGAAAGACAGACAAAUAUUCUAAAGAAAUUUGUUUAAGUUAUAUGUUAAGAGCCAUUUUUUAAUUAGCCCUACAUAAUUAUUUUUUUCUUUAAUAUCUCCUAUGUACAGACAUAGCUCAGUUGCAGUUUUAUUAUAUGUAUAGAUAAACACAAAGUUUAGAAAGUUUAAUACUGACGAGGUCACACAAAUCAUAAUAUUUAUGGUGUCAUAUUUUCGAUGUCACCAUAUUUAAUCACAUUUCAUAUGCAAGUUUCUCCUAUUUGUGAAACUUAUUAUCUAAUUUUAAAUUAUUUUUACGACCAACGUCAUUAUAUAGAAACUCUGAUAUAUAUCUGUCCUGUCUUAAAGAAAAUUUACUAUGGUGAAAAUAUAUUUACGACGCCAGUCAUUUGAACGUUAUGGAAUGUAUGACAGAUCCAAAAUUUAUUAAAGUAUGAUAAUUCAUUGCUAUUUUAUCGCUAUUUUAACAUACAUAUUGAAUAUACAAAUUAAUCAGUAUGUAUAAUAUUAAAGAUUCGUAUAGUUGAUUUCAAAUUAUCAAAACAAGAUGAUUUUCUUUUCUUUUGAUUUAUUGAAUUUUAAAUUAUUUUAUUAUUGUAAAUUGUACACAGUGUAAUAAGGGAAAACUCAGUAUUUACAUGACAUGAUUUCGGAUUCUGUGAAUCACACAGAAAUUUUAUAUCAAUGUUUAAAAAUUGAUAUAA